AGAUGAACAUAAUUAGAUGAUAAGUAAAAAAUCGCGGAAUUUCCCUUUAAAGCUUCUUGUUUCCCAACUUUUCUGACCCAUGUUCGGACCAUUCGUCCAGGUUUUAGAUUCCCUGCUUUUCCUUGGGAGAACCUAAGCAUCGGAACUUAGCCAAUGUCAUGCUUGUAGAACUUGUAAGAGAUAUUAAAAUGUAGUUUUAAACGUCAUUUAGUUUCCAGGCAGAACAUUAAAAAAAAAGAAGGAAAGAAAACUGAUGCCAUAAUGAUUGUGGUUUAACCAUGCGUGGCAAGUGUCUUAUGCAAGUUUAUAAUGCUAUGUCCUUAGCAAAGUCAAACACAAGAUCCUGUUUAUUUGAUAACUUGUUAUUUUGCCAUUCAUUUAGUUAUAUAUCGUCUUUCUGAAUACACUAGUGUAAUGUGAUAUAUUAUCCACCAAUAGAUUGGCUACCUAGAAUAGGAGGACAAUAAUUUACAGGUGUU
rnacentral:lncRNA from 1 species